AUGCCUCACCGAGUGCAAAAAACCAACCGUUCGUCUGUAAAGAUUGCUGAUGGGGGAAUUCUUCAAUGUAACAGCAUGAUUCCUCGAUGCUCGUGGACAACGCAAGGGCAAGUGUUUGAAACCGACCUCCGGGUGUUAUCGUUGGGCUGCUAUGAUGUUGUUGUGGGCAUGGACUGGCUGCAGAGUUGUGGACCUAUGUGGAUCAACUGGGAGCAGAAGCGGUUGCAGUUUCAGCAUCAUGAGCAGUGGAUUGAGCUUGUCGGUGUGCAGCCUCAGUUACAACCAGUCGAACAGAUUUCAGCUGCUCAGCUGCAGGAAUUAGAGGAGCAACAUGCAGUGGCGCAUGUAGUUCUUCUGUGCAGUAUGACUGACGCCGUGAACAACCAGGAAUUAAGGGAGCAGCAUCCAGUAGUGACGGCAAUUCUCGAGGAGUUUCAGCAAGUGUUCACUGAACCAACCACCCUACCCAAACAUUGA
rnacentral:rRNA from 1 species